GUCAGCAGUGGAAUCAAUUGGCAUAUGGGAAAUUGACAUGCCAAGAUUGAAUUUAAAAUUUCAAUUAAAAUGAGUGCACCGGUUUACACAUUCAUCAUCUCAGGGACGUUCAACAUAAGACCACCGUGCCGGAAAUCGCUUCCGCCGGCGGUGGCCACCAAAAUGCAAAUUGAACCCCUAAUCGGAUUCGUCUCCCUUUCCUCAUCAUGAAUAUUGUAACCAUUUCUCUAGAUUCCGAGUCUAAAUCAAAAACCACAACCAAAUCUCCAAGAACCCUAACAUUCAAUUCAUCAGUUAAACCCUAUCCACGAGGAUUCAAAGCCCUAGGGGUUGGGGAUUUCAACCUCAUCUCCUAGUUCUACAUCACCGUAACAAGAUCUAAAGAAGUCAGUGAAAGAACAGGAGAACUCACCGGUGGAGUAAACGCAAAAGUCACCGGAAUUCUAGAUGAAAUGCUUUUGGCCAUGGCUUGCUGGAGGACCUUGUUGCUUGGAUGUGUUGCAGGUACAUGGAAAAACAAACUUUAUGUCAAGGCUUAUGUGCAAGUAGGUGGUGAUUGCAUCAUGAUGGACCAAGGUUUGCAGCAAGAGGUCAUGUUUGUGUGCAAUUCAGGCAUGAUGUUGUGCAAUGUUAGCAUGAUUGGGCUCAUGUCUGAACUUGGCCUACAACAACUAUGCAUUGUGGUUCUGGUGUGCACCAAUGACUUGGUUGCAGUAGGUUACGUCAUAGUUUCAUUGCAGUAGCUGAUGUGGUUCUAUUGGUGGUUUGUAGGUUUAAUCAUGUUGUGCAUUGUUGAUACUUCCUUGUUUAGGUUCUGCAAGGUUUGCUAAGUUGCUAUGGAAAUAUGCUAGGCCUAAUGCAUUAUAUGGAUGCUACUGCUAUGGUGCAGUACUUGUGAAAUGCUUGAUAUUUUACAUGAAUUCUACAGGCCAUUGUAAUGUAUAUGGUUUUGCACUUGGUAUUGGUUGGACAUGGCAUAAGAUAUAAUGGCAUCAAGUUUGAAUUUUGGAGCAACAUGUUCAAAAGGAAAGCCAAAAAGUUAAAAGGGAAUUGGAGAUUAGGAUUAGGAUUAAGAUGGGAUUUUAGGGUUUUAAGACCCUUUUGGGGGGAUUGGGUUGACUUUUGUCAAAGUUGAUCAAAAAGUCAAUUGUUGACCAAAGUCAAUACUUGGUCAAAGUCACCCCAUUUUGUAGUUUUUUCAUGUAAUGGACAUUUUAUGACUUGUAAUGAAUGACAUUUGUUCAUAUUUGAAUGGAAUGGAUUGGAUUUGAAUGAA